rnacentral:rRNA from 1 species
GAUGAACGCUGGCGGCGUGCCUAAUACAUGCAAGUCGAGCGAACAGACGAGGAGCUUGCUCCUCUGACGUUAGCGGCGGACGGGUGAGUCACACGUGGAUAACCUACCUAUAAGACUGGGAUAACUUCGGGAAACCGGAGCUAAUACCGGAUAAUAUAUUGAACCGCAUGGUUCAAUAGUGAAAGACGGUUUUGCUGUCCCUUAUAGAUGGAUCCGCGCCGCAUUAGCUAGUUGGUACGGUAACGGCUUACCAAGGCAACGAUGCGUAGCCGACCUGAGAGGGCGAUCGGCCACACUGGAACUGAGACACGGUCCAGACUCCUACGGGAGGCAGCAGUAGGGAAUCUUCCGCAAUGGGCGAAAGCCUGACGGAGCAACGCCGCGUGAGUGAUGAAGGUCUUCGGAUCGUAAAACUCUGUUAUUAGGGAAGAACAAAUGUGUAAGUAACUAUGCACGUCUUGACGGUACCUAAUCAGAAAGCCACGGCUAACUACGUG